ensembl:lncRNA
CAUAUUUGUCAUGCAUAUUGAUCACAUUCAUCAUAGGGAAUUUGUACCUGUACAUGAUAUAUCUUGAUUCUUCUAUUUUUUCCCCAUUUCUCUCCCCUCACUUCAACCCUUCUUCCUGGGUGACAGUUUCAGAAAAUAUCUUGUGGUUCAGCCUCUUGCUGAGUUUACUCAGCCUUUUCUUAGUGGAGAUGUGGCUGCAUCCUGAAACUGCUUCCCCUCUUUAAGUCUUUCUUCCUGUGUGAUGUCAGGAUAAUAACAGUACCCAACUUACAAGGUUGUUUGGAUCUUUAAAUAAGAUUGAGUAAUCAGGGAGGCUGGGGGUAUAGCCCAGUGGUACAGAGAUUGCUUAUGAAGCUUUCAGGUUGGGUUUUGUUUUGUUUUGCUUUGUUUUGUUUUUGCCAGUACCUUGAUGUCAAUUGCUAGCUGCCAACUUCAGGGCUCAUGUGAUCCUCCUGCCUUAGCCUUCUGACUAUCACCCCAACAAGAGCAUGUACUUGGUCCCUAGGUUUAAUUUCCUGCACAAAAAAACAAUUUUUUUUGAGUAAUAGACCACUAUGAAGAUGUUAAAAAGAAUAAGGUAGUAUGGCACUGUAUCAAAAAAUUAAACAGAAUUAACCAUAAAAUUAAAACAUAAAGUUCUACUUCUGGCUAUACCCCAAAUUGAAAGCAGAGACUUGAAAAGAUGGUUGUAUCCCAUAUCCAUAGUAGCAUUAUUCACAGUACCAAAAAAUAGAGCAACCCAAAUGUCCAUCAGCAGAUGAAUGGAUAAACAAAGGGUGGUAUUUACAGACAGAAAUAAAAUAGAGGUUUCGAGGGCUGUGAGGGGAGGAGGGAGUGAAGAAUUGUUAUUUAAUAAGUACAUACUUUUUUUCAGUUUGGGAUAAUGAAGUUUUUGGAGACAGAUAGUGGUGUGGUUGCAAAUUGUGAUUAUGCUUAUGGCCACUAAGCUCCACACUUCAAAAUGGUUAAGUCUGAGGUGAAGCUCAGUAGCAGAGUGUAUACUUAGCAUAUGCAAGACCCUGGGUUCAAUCCCCAGCACUAAAAAAAAAAAAAAAAGGAUUAAAAAUGGUAAAUUUGAUGUAUGCAUAUCUUACUAAAAAGAAAAAAUGGCUACAAUGAUAAAUUUUAUGUUGUACUAUAUAUUCUUUACCACAUUAAAAAAGAAAAUAUUUAUAUACUAUAGAAAGAUACCCAAGGUACAUUAUUAAGAGGAAAAGGAACUUAUAGAACUGUAUGUAUUGUGUUACUACCAUACUGGUUAUUCUGAAAAGCCAUACACAGCUGAAUGAGUUUGAAGCAUGCAUGUCUAUGUAUGAAUGCAUAGCAGAAGUCUGGAGGAAAACCUACUGGUCUGAGGAAUUAUGGAGUACAAAAGAGAAUGACUUCUGCUUUCUUUCUUUCUUUUUUUUUUUUUUGAGACAAGCUCUCGCUAUGUAGUUCAGCAGGCCUCUAACUCAUGAGGAUCUUCCUGCCUCAGCCUCCUGAGUGCUGGUAUUACAGGCAUGCGCCAUCACACCUGGCACCUUUUACUUUUUAUUCCAUUAAUUCUAUUUUUGACUUUUUGUGGUUCUAGGAAUUGAAUUGGAGGUGCUCAGUCACUGAGCUGUACCCCCAGCCCAAGUUAGGAGUUUUUUAAUAAAAGAGUAUCCUUAGGGCAGGUAUGGUGUAUCUCUAAUCCCAGCUACUGGAGAGGCUGAGACAGGAGGAUUGCUUAAGCCCAGGAACUCAAAGCCAGCCUGGGCAAUAUAGUGAAACCUCAUUUCGAAAACAGAAAAGCUGAUCAUGGUGGUGCAUGCCUAUAAUCCCAGCAUUCUGGGAGGCUGAGGCAGGAGGAUUGAAAGUUCAAGCUCAGGAUGGGCAAUUUAGUGACUUAGUGAGACCUUGUCUCAAAAUAAAAGAGGGUAGGGAGAGGAUGUAGCUCAGUGUGAAGGCCUUGGGUUCAAUCCCCAGUACUGAAAAGGAAGGAAGGGGAAGGAGGAAGGAAGGAAGAGAAUGUACUUGGCACUGGAAUUUAAAAUUUUAACUGUAAAGAGCCCUGUGUGGAGCCUGGCACCAAGUAGGUGCCAAAGAAACCCCCGUCUGAUGUCAGGGAGGCUAGUCUAACCCUUCUGAUGUACCUGUGGCGUCUUGGAAUUGUGUGUGGGAGACUAGAGCCUGUGUUUAUUUGCUGUUUGUCCUCUGCUCCUCCCUCUCCUUCCUGACAUGGUUUCUAUGGAGACAAGGGUCCUUCAGCGGUUCUGUGAGCUGCAGUCUCAUCAUUGAGAUCUGUCUUUGCUAUCCCGACAGGUUGCUGAGGUGAUGCUGUAACCCAACGGGGAACGGAGCCCUGGCCUGAGCUGAUGUGGUUGCCAUGGAGAUAGCUCUUGGCAAGAGAGAAGGGAGGCGACAUGCCCUCACUGAGUUCUGCGGUGGCACUGUGGCCCAGCUGGGCUGCUGCUCAAGAAUCAUAACACCAGCCUUUCCUAUCUGGUCUCGUUCCCCAUCCUCAUGUUUUAGGCAGAAAGCCAGUGUCCACGUUGAUGUGAUUUGCUGUAACACAGCUGCUGUGCCUGAGCCUUAACCUGUACCAGGGACCGCUCCCAGCCUUGUGCAUGUGUCCCCUCUCGGUUUAACCCUUCACAGCUUCCCCCCUACACGAGGCUGUUGUCUCCAUUGUGUAGGUUCUACUUUUUUACUUGGCUUUUUUUUUUUUUUUCUUUCUGUGAUACUGGGGUUUGAGCCCAAGGCCCUUAUCCCCAGAUUCUUGGCAGUUUUUGAAUUGUAAUUUAAUUCACAGACUAUACAAUUAACCAUUUUAAAGUGAUUUUUUUUUCUUUUCUUUUUUUCUUAGUGUAUUUGUGAUGUUGAGCAAGCAUCACUGUGAUCUAAUUCCAGAAUAUUUCAUUGUCCUCAAAAGUAAUCCCAUACCUGUUAGGAAUCACUCCCUGCUCCCACUUCCCUCCAGCUCUUGGCAACCUCUAAUCCACUUUCUGUCUCUAAGGAUUUGUCUGUUCUGGACAUUUCAUUCAAAUGGAAUUAUGCAAUAUGUAAUCUUUGGUGACAGGCUUCCUUUACUUAGCAGAAGGCUUUCAGGGUUUAGCUGUCCAUGUUGAAGCCUGUUUCAGGGCCUCAUUCUUUUUUAUGGCUGAAUAAUAAUCCAUUGUAUGGAUAGACCACAUCAUGUUUGUUCGUUAGCAGUUGAUGGACAUCUGUAUUGUUUCUACUUUGGGGCCACUGUGAAUAAUGCUUUCACGUUUCAACUUGAACUUUCAUGUUCAAGCUUCCAUGAAUAUGUGUUUUUAGUUCUCUUGGGUAUAUAUCUAGGAAUAGAAUUGUUGUAUAUUACUGGAGCUGAGGAAAGACAAAGAUAGAAUUCAGACUCAGGACUCUUAUAUUUCUUAAACCCUCUCUGACUCCUACAGUGAUGCUCCUGCUUUCCAUGCCCUAUUCGGGGGCUUUUCUAAGACCCUUGCCUGUUUUCAGAUCCUUUAAGAGUUUAUUCACUCUAAUGACAACCUCCCUGUCUGGCUAGGGUUUCUCAUCCACAUUUCCCACCUGAUGGCAGAGGAAGAGUGUUGACCAUGGUGCCUGACUGCUGGAGUUCAAAUCCCACUUCUGCUGUCUUCCAGUGCAGUCUAACCCUGGUCUGUGUGCUGCAGGGCAAACCCAGACUCAAAGCCACACAGGAUUGGGUUCGAAUCCUGGCUUUGCCACUUAUUUGGAAGUGACUGUAACCUUGAGCAAAUCAUACAAGUGCUUGAUGCUCUGUUCAUUUAUAAAAUGGUAACAUUUAUCCAUACUUUCAGAGGUGUUUGUGGGAAUGUAAUGAGACAAGCAGGUAAAGUGCUCGGUAGGCUUAUUAAAUACAGAACAUGUUAUCAUCAUUACCAUCACAACCACCGUGCUGGCGAAGCCUUUGGCUAGUUAAAUCAGUAUUUCUGCUGCCUCUUGAGAAGAGCUGUCUGUGUUGAGCUGCCUAUUGCUUGUGGAAGGAGCAGCUGUGUUGCAAGCCAUUGUCUGCAGGUGGUACUGUGUAGCAAUGACAUUUGAUUUGGGGCUGUUUGGCUAAACCUCCCUAAAUGAUGGUGAUGUUCCCCUAACCAGAAACCAUACAGCCUGUCUGCAUGGCUGUUUCAGCCAUUCUGGAGGAAGAAAGCCUCCGUCUUUGAGGUGUACUCCCACACCAGUUCCCUCCUGGAGUCAGUUUUGUGCACACUGCAGUCUGUUUUCAGGGAGACUUUUCUGGACAUCUCCCCUCCCCCAUUUGCUGAAAAUCUGCCCAGCUGUUUUGGCAGCAGGCUCACUUUGGUCCUCGGAAGGUUGUACUCUGAGUCUUGGCAGCAUAGAAAGUGCCUGGGGGACAGAAAGCCCCUCAGAAUAGCUCUUUGGCAGCUGAGGGGUCUUGGGAACAAGAGAGCUCAGGGUUCCACUAGGAGUGGUCAGACCAGGGAUGCUUAGAGGUGUCGCCCUGGCUGCUCCAAGUUGGCCCUGUGAGUUGCUAUUGGGUGGGGAAGGCCGUGCCGCUUGUUAGGCCAGAGGGUGCCCUUUGCCUGGGUCCUUCCCUGAGCCUUGUGGCUACAUUCCCCCGUCCCACCCUCCAGGGGCCCAGAGCCAAAACAUCUGCCUCAUGGGCGGAGAGACUAGUUCCACCCUUGAGGACACCACAAAAGAAUUCUAACAGACCCUGGCACUCUUGAGGGGUGCAGAACCCCCAGCCGCCUGGCCAGCUGCUGCCCUGUAGUGGGGAGGGAGGUCUUUGUGCUCUCUGUGCCUGCCUUGUUUUCCCUCCAGAGCCACAGAGCCUUUGGAGCCCAAGUGGCUUUGACAUGGUGGGGGGGAGGGUCAGGUACAAGGCUGAGUGGCUGGAACCACUUUGGCCUUGAGAGCUGCUGCUUGGCCUCUCCUUUGGUGCCCUUCACCUUUGUGGUGAGGUUCAACCCAGUUAGCCCUCUUGCACCUUUUCACUGCCUCAGUAGUUCUCAGUGACUCCUUGGGAAAGCAUAUUUAAAAACAAAUUAUGACUGGGCCAGGGAUUUAGCUUAGUGGUUCUGCCGCCUGCCUGGAAAGCACAAGGUCCUAAGUUUGAUCCCUGGUACCAAAAAAAAGUUAUGACUUUCAGUGUCCCCCAACAGAUGGUGGUACAUGCUUAGCAGAGAAAGAUUAGAAAGUACAAUGAGCUGUAAGGAAAAAAACUCACCUAUAAUCCAGUAUUUGGAGGGAAUGUCUAUUUGAGUGGCAGAUUGUACUUCCAGUAAGUGUUUCCAUGCCUACAUAUGAAAAUAAUACAUAUAAUAAUAAUUAUAUAUGUAAUUUUAAAAUCUAAAUAAUAUAAACUCAGUGAAGCAAAAAUCUCAUUACAGAAGCACAUAAAUGCAUGCCUAGCAUACCUUUCGGGAAAGUUACCAGCCAGCUCUGGUUACAUUGGCUGCCUAGGGGCAGGAGAGCUGGGGCUGGGUUCCCUGUGUCCCUCUUUGUGCUCUGAAUUUUGAACCAUGUGAAUGUGGCAUCUACUCAGAAGUGGUAGAACUAAUAAAACCGUAUAUAAAAUAAGAAAGCCAUCCCUAACCACCUCCCUUACUUCUGCUUCUCAGCUUCACCCAUGAUUAACAGUUUGUUUUUUUAUCUUUCCAGGUCUCUAUGCUCAGGUAAUGCACAUUCUUGUUGUUUUUUAAAAUAAAGAUACAGGUAUAUUGUAGACACUGUUUCUGUAAUGUACAGGAUCAUAUUGCAUGAAUAGAGACGUUUUGUUUAACGCUGGAUGUUUUGUUUUCCUCUGCCUAAAUGCUUAUUAUAAAAUCAAAGAUCGCAGAAUCCAGUAAGCAUAAGAAGAAAAGUCCAAAACAGCACCCUCUAUUUUGGUGUUUUAAAUACAGAGCCAGAGGUCUAAAAGGAGCUUCAUAAGGGCCCUUCAAAGGCCCUCAGGGAAGGGAGGAACACCAGAGGCUUGGAAAAGGGGCAUUUUGGCUUUAUCUACUUAGUGCAUAUUUUGUACAGUGAAAAUGUAUUCUUGUGUAUUAAUUGAUUUUUAAGAAUUUUGUAGUUGACACUAGUGUACGCCUGUAAUUCCAGCACUCUAGGAAGCUGAGGCAAGAAGGUCCCACAUUGCAGCCCAGCCUGGCCAACUUAGCGAGACCCUGUCUCAAAAUAAAAUAUAAAAAGAGCUGGGGAUAUAGCUCAAUGCAAAAACCUUGGGUACAGACCCCAGUACCACAUACGCACACGCACGCACACACACACACACACACACAUGCACACACACAAAAGUAUGCUAUUAAAAAAACUUUAAAGGAAAAACUCUGAAGACCAUGUUCCCCAUCCUCCUCUCAAAAAAUAAGAUAAAAUAAAAUGAAAUUGUAAAGUGGAAGGGAAAAGUGCAAGUGCUCUGUGUCUUCACAGUGCCAGCCUCUGCUGUAGUGCACCUUAUCCCCACAUGGACACACGUUUCUGUAACAGUGAUAAUAGGCUUUCAGGUUUGUUUUCAGUAACAGUUAUUAUUGAGCUAUAAUUCACAUACCCUGAAGUUUAUGAAGUUUGUCUUUUCUCUUUGUUUUACAGUGGUAGGCCUGACACAUGCUCAGCAAGCGCUGUACCACCAAGCUGCACUCCUAGCUGAAGUUUAUCUUUUUAUUUUUAUUUUUGGUACCAGAGAUCGAACUCGGGUCCUUGUGCUUGCGAGGCACCAAGUUUAUCUUUUUAAAGUGCACAGUUCCAUAGUUUCUAGUGUACUCAAACAGUUGUGCAAUCAUCACCACUGUAAUUCUAGGACAUUUUUGUCACCCCUAAAAGAAACCUCUUGCCCAUGAACAGACACUUCCCAUUCCACCCUUCCCUAGCUCUUGCUGUCAUUCUACUCUGCCUGGUGUAUUUGCCUCAUUUGGGCAUUUCAUGUAAAUGGAACCAUGUGAUAUGUGCCCAGCUUUGUUCCCUUUGGAUGGUGUUUUCUGCACACCAUGUGGUAGUGUGUGUCAGGACUAAAUUCCUUUCCUGGCUGUAUAAUUUUCAGUUGUGUCACUAGACCUCAUUUUGUUUAUCUGUUCCUCCGUUGGUAGGUGUAUUUGGCUUGUAGGUUUUGUUUGCAGGUUACUUCCCCUUACCAGGUGUCAUGGAGACUUUACAUGUUAGCAACUCUCAUGACCUCCAGUCCCUUUUGAUUGCUGUGCAUUGAUCCUCAGUGUGAUACUCAGUGCCUUUAGAGACCCCUGGGUUAGCCUUGUAUCACUUCACUUCCUUCAGGGAAUCAGAUAGCUUAAGGGGUUUUUGGUCACUUAACCCAUGGC